GACGUAGGGGGCAAGCGUUGUCCGGAUUUAUUGGGCGUAAAGAGCGUGUAGGCGGCCAAACAGGUCAGCUGUGAAAACUCGAGGCUCAACCUCGAGACGUCGGUUGAAACCGUAUGGCUAGAGUCCGGAAGAGGAGAGUGGAAUUCCUGGUGUAGCGGUGAAAUGCGCAGAUAUCAGGAAGAACACCCGUGGCGAAGGCGGCUCUCUGGGACGGUACUGACGCUGAGACGCGAAAGCGUGGGGAGCGAACAGG
rnacentral:rRNA from 1 species